rnacentral:rRNA from 1 species
AGCAGCCGCGGUAAUUCCAGCUCCAAUAGCGUAUAUUAAAGUUGUUGCAGUUAAAAAGCUCGUAGUUGAAUUUCGGGAUUGACGUGAUGGUCGUGCCUUAAGGGGUAUGAACUGUCGCAGUUGAUUUCUCACCUUCUGGAGAAGCAUGAUGUCCUUAAUUGGGUGUCAUGUGGAACCAGGACCUUUACCUUGAAAAAUUAGAGUGUUUAAAGCAGGCAUUUUGCUCGAAUACAUUAGCAUGGAAUAAUAGAAUAGGACGGCAUGGUUCUAUUUUGUUGGUUUCUAGGAUCACCGUAAUGAUUAAUAGGGAUAGUUGGGGGCAUUAGUAUUCAAUUGUCAGAGGUGAAAUUCUUGGAUUUAUUGAAGACUAACUACUGCGAAAGCAUUUGCCAAGGAUGUUUUCAUUAAUCAAGAACGAAAGUUAGGGGAUCGAAGACGAUCAGAUACCGUCGUAGUCUUAACCAUAAACUAUGCCGACUAGGAAU